CCAGACUCCUACGGGAGGCAGCAGUGGGGAAUAUUGCACAAUGGGGGAAACCCUGAUGCAGCGACGCCGCGUGAGGGAAGACGGCCUUCGGGUUGUAAACCUCUGUCGCAGGGGACGAAGGAAGUGACGGUACCCUGUGAGGAAGCCACGGCUAACUACGUGCCAGCAGCCGCGGUAAUACGUAGGUGGUGAGCGUUGUCCGGAAUUACUGGGUGUAAAGGGAGCGUAGGCGGGAGUGCAAGUUGAAUGUAUAAACUACCGGCUUAACCGGUAGAAGCGUUCAAAACUGCACUUCUUGAGUGAAGUAGAGGCAGGCGGAAUUCCUAGUGUAGCGGUGAAAUGCGUAGAUAUUAGGAGGAACACCAGUGGCGAAGGCGGCCUGCUGGGCUUUAACUGACGCUGAGGCUCGAAAGCGUGGGUAGCAAACAGGAUUAGAUACCCUAGUA
rnacentral:rRNA from 1 species